rnacentral:rRNA from 1 species
UACAGCGAUCAUACCAACGUUAAUGCACCAGAUCCCAUCAGAACUCGCAAUUAAGUGCGCUUGGGCCAGAGUAGUACUUGGAUGGGUGACCUCCCGAGAAGUCUUGGUGUUGCACCCU